rnacentral:rRNA from 1 species
GAUGAACGCUGGCGGCGUGCCUAAUACAUGCAAGUCGAGCGAAGCGGGGACGCGUGAGUAACACGUGGCUAACCUCCUAUAAGACUGGAGUAACUUCGGGCUACCGGAGCUCAACCGGAGACUUAUAGAUGGAUCCCCGCUGCAUUAGCUAGGUGGGAAGGUAACGGCUUACCAAGGCAACGAGGGAUAGCCGACCUGAGCGGGUGGUCGGCCACGCUGGAGCUGAGACGCAGGCCAGACUCCUACGAGAGGCAGCAGUAGGGAAUCAUCCGCAAUGGGCGCAAGCCUGACGGAGCGACGCCGCGUAGGUGAUGAAGGUCUUCGGAUCGUAAAACUCUGUUAUUAGGGAAGCGGUACCUGAUCAGAGAGCAGCGGCUAACUACGUGCCAGCAGCCGUGGUAAUAC